UGAAAUGCUGUUCUCAACGAAAUGCGCAACUGAAUCGCAACACCACCUAGCCGUUGCUCUCCUCCUCUCGACUUCUUUCCAUCGCCGUUCUCGAUCCCCUUCCUUCCACCACACACACACGAUUCGAUCACGCAUUUUUCGUCUCCUCCUCCCCACCAAGGAAAGAGCGCAAGUCUGGGGGACACUGCUGCUGUCCCGGAGCGGCGAGAGUUUGUGCGCCGUUGUGACCGCCUUCUCCCUUUCCAUUUCCCAUUGGACCCCCUCGCGUGUCGCGCGUUUAGUGACGUCUCUUUUUCUUGUAUUUGUCUCCUCUCUCCUCGUAUUUAUUAGCGCCUGUCGUGGAACUUGUGUGCGUGUGUAUACAGACGGGCAGCACUUCGCCUUCUUGUUGCUGCUCAUCUUCUGGCCUCGGCGGUCUCUCCGCCUGCAUCAGUACACCACCCACGGUCUUCCUAUUCCACACACCUACGCAUUGCCCUCUGCUGUACUUUGCCCCUCCGUGACCAGUAUCUGUCAUUGCCAAUUCUUGUUCGGUCCUCACACUUCUUGUACCUCCCUUCCUUUGCGGAGACGGUGCGGCUGUCUUCAGCGCAGUGUUCUUCCCGUGGCUUCCGCCGACUGCCCUCAUGUGUAACCGGAACCGAUUCUCUCAAAUCCUCCCCGUCACUUAGAUGGUAAAAGCACUCGGGUUAUACAUGAAUGCAUGACUGAGCUGCGACUGUCGCAUGACGCCACCCACGAAGCCCCGAGGGCCAACCUCUGGCGAGUAUUCACCCCCUUCGAUGGGCCGCGCACACUCAACAUGGUAGGAGGCACAGCGGGAGGCAUCGGUGGCGGGGCUGCGCGACAGCCACCUACGCCAAUCUCUCGAAGACCGUCGCACAGCGCCUCGGUCGAACGCACCGUAUCAUUAUCACCGGUCCUCAGCAGCGACACUGCUUCGAGUUCUCUUGAUGUACCCCCCAUCGAGUCCUUUGCUGGUGCCGAAAUGUCGGUGCCGUUGCCGCUCCGGGGCGACGCGUCUGCCUCACACUCCGUGCAGGGCCGCGGUGAGGUGCAGAGCAUUGCCAGCGUCUCGUCGGAGUGGCGCACCUCCUUGGAUUUUGCACAGCAGCUGGACAUAAAGGCAGAGAAGGAGCUACAUGCGCUGUGGUCAGCGCUGUGGGCGGCAACUCACAGCGAGGCCGCGCUGCAGACCGCCUUGGAGAGUAGGCGGACGUCGUGGAACCCUUAUCGGCCCGUCCGUGGCGGGCCAGAGGUGAAGGCGGAGGUUCUGCACAGCGAGGUGGUAGAGUUUCAGGCUAUGGUGCCGACCGACAGCUUGUACCUCCGCGGCGUCGCCGCGCAGCUACCCACCUCGUCUCCUGCAGGCUCCGUUUCGCUGCGGGACUCGAUUUCCAGAAUCAGCAACUCAUGGGUGUCGCCUCUGUCUCCACACUGCACUGGGGGGCAACGAAACGCAGCGAAGAGCAAGGCAGAUGCGGAGGAGGAAGUGCUGGUGAUGGACGGGCCUUCUGCUGUGGCCUUCCGGUCACCGUCUACGCCGGUCACCUCGCUCGCUCGCGGAUCUUCCUGGUGGGCGGUGCGCCGUGCAGAGAGCGAGGCGGCGCUCUUUCACUACAUGUGGGAAGCUGUCGUCGUUCCGUACUACGCAUCCAUGCCUGCUGCCUUCUUUUCGGCUGCCUUGCCCGGCGACGGGGCAGCGACGCAGACCAGCGGCUCCUUGAUGUCUUUCGCCCCUCGCCGCGAGGAGCGGGAAGAGAGGGAGGCGAGCGGCGUGGUCACCGCCUUCGGUGGGGCCCGAGAAAAGGUGCGAAAGUGGAGCUUUGAGGCAUGCCGCCGCUCGUCCUCUCCCUCGUCAGCGAACGCGUCGCCGCUGCAGAAGUGCGACCCUUCCAGUGUCGGCGAGGCACGGUUUUCAACGUUGGCGACAGUGCGUCCGCAGCGCCCGGGCAGCGGUGGAGCUUCUCACGCCAUGGCAUCGCGAGACCUCGACAUCGUCUCGGAAGACUCACUCGAGGUCGAGGUUCUGGAGGAAAACAAGGGCAGCAGCCAUGUAUCGCCCACGCACGCCGCAUCGCCGCUGGGGAGGGGAGACGAUCGCAGCGCUGCGACUCCCGACCCGGCGGCCGCCCCUGCCGAGCGCAGCGGCCAACGCAAACAGCGUCCCUCAACAGCCUACUUGCAUGUCCUCACCACCGCACCGCUGGACGUCGGGGCGACCGAUAAGCUGCCACAAGGAUCGACCCAUGCCUCGACUUCAACGACGCAGCAGCGUGCCGCGUCUGCUUUCUCGGAUAGUGUGCAGGUCGCUGGCGCAUCGUCUGCGCCUCGCAGUGGCGCUGCUGCUUCUGCCUCGACGAGAGGCGGGCUGUUUGGAAAGGCGUCAAGCCGGAGAGAGGUCCCACUCUUCCACAUCACCGCGAAAGCUGCAGGGAAUGCGCCGAAAACCUCGUCGUCGUCACCGCUGCCCGUGGCGGCGCAACCAUCGCCUUCCCGAGUACAGCCACAAGCCGCUGAGGGGAAGCGUGCAGCCUCGCCUGUGGCGGUUGUGGCGGCCGCGAAGGACCACAAGCCGCCACAGCGGGUCCACGCAGCCUCGGGGGCGAGCAGGGCGCGAGGUGGCCGCGCGACCGCAAGCGCCGCACGAGGAAAGGCCUCCCCAGCGGCGCGUAGCGCGUCACGCACUGCUUUGGCGCCUAUAUCGCAUGCGGAUCGUACCACAGUGUCGCCGACCACCAGCACGAACGCGUCUGCUAAGCAUGCGUUGCAGCUGCUCGAUCUGCACAGCCGGCACACGGUUCGCUCGCCGAUGCUGCAGCGCAGUCUAUCGCCCAUUCCGAAAGCAGCAAGGGAGACUGAGGGGCGCAAGUCGGCAAAGGCAGAGCUGACACCACCUGAGGUGCCGGCACCCCACCCCCAGCGGUGUGGCUUUGUGUCCCCCAUGCAGCUACCUUGCCGCAGCAAGCGGCGGCGAUGCACUGAACAGCUGAAGCAGCUUGUGGAGCCUGAGAUCGAUGCUCCGGUCGGUUUCGACGUGUCCGAAACGAUCUUACCGAACUCGCAGCCGGGGCUCCCGCGCGAGGUGGCCGCGCGUUCUGCGUCCGCGGAGCGGCAUCGUCCAACGGCGCCGAAUUCGCGAAGCGUGGCAAACGCCACCGCUUCUCCUGCCGUGUGCAACUCAUCGAUUGGCGCUCGACAGCCAGGCAAGGGACCGCAGCGAUCGUCUUCGAAGGCGAAGGCCGCCUCAGCGGCACCGAAGCGCCCGACCACCGCUCACCGCUAAUGCGCGGAGGCGCACCACGCUCAUAGGGAACACACGCUUACAGGAGCUUUUAUGGCACGAAGGCUCUACAUGUUAGGGGAGAGGCAUGAGCCGCUAUGAGAUGGGCAGCAGUCGCAUGCCUGUCCCCGAGUACUGGUGGCUCGCAAGAGGGAGGCAAAGAAUG
rnacentral:misc_RNA from 1 species